AUGCAUGGCUUAAUCUUUGAGACAAGCAUAUGACUACUGGCAGGAUCAACCAGGUAGCAUUCCUCAUCGACGUCGGGACCGUAUGACCAAAAUCCGAAAGGACCUAGUCAAAACAGCCACAACCGUCGUUCGCACAUAGCGUUGGACGCUCAAUUAGGGGCAAUAAGAGAACAAUGCCUCGUGCCCACCGAGUAUUCCACAACCGAGAGAACGAGCAACGAUCGUGGUCCAACACACCAAGCACUUGCAUGCAAGGAGAGUGGAACACAAUCGACACUUUCACGUUCACUCCAUGCCACGAUCCGAGGGGACGCAACACAAAGCGAAACUGAAAUUGAACCGAUCGAAUGCCAUCAUAAAUGGAACACAGAACAGGAAACCCACAUCACGCAAAGGCACACCGCGCCAACGCCAACAAUUGAAGAGACGCGCAAGGUACAUUGUCGCUGCCCGAGCAGGGAUCCAACAUAUCAAAACGCAUCAAUCACCACUCACGCGGCUCUAUA
rnacentral:misc_RNA from 1 species